AGAGUUUGAUCCUGGCUCAGAUUGAACGCUGGCGGCUGGCCUAACACCAUGCAAGUCGAGCGGAUGACGGGAGCUUGCUCCUUGAUUCAGCGGCGGACGGGUGAGUAAUGCCUAGGAAUCUGCCUGGUAGUGGGGGACAACGUUUCGAAAGGAACGCUAAUACCGCAUACGUCCUACGGGAGAAAGCAGGGGACCUUCGGGCCUUGCGCUAUCAGAUGAGCCUAGGUCGGAUUAGCUUGUUGGUGAGGUAAUGGCUCACCAAGGCGACGAUCCGUAACUGGUCUGAGAGGAUGAUCAGUCACACUGGAACUGAGACACGGUCCAGACUCCUACGGGAGGCAGCAGUGGGGAAUAUUGGACAAUGGGCGAAAGCCUGAUCCAGCCAUGCCGCGUGUGUGAAGAAGGUCUUCGGAUUGUAAAGCACUUUAAGUUGGGAGGAAGGGCAGUAAGUUAAUACCUUGCUGUUUUGACGUUACCGACAGAAUAAGCACCGGCUAACUCUGUGCCAGCAGCCGCGGU
rnacentral:rRNA from 1 species